UACGUAGGGGGCGAGCGUUGUCCGAAGUUACUGGGCGUAAAGCGCGCGUAGGCGGUCUCUUAAGUCCGGGGUGAAAGGUUCAGCGCUCAACGCGAACAGUGCCCUGGAGACUGGGGGACUUGAGUGUGGGAGGGGGCAGUGGAAUUCCUGGUGUAGCGGUGAAAUGCGUAGAUAUCAGGAGGAACACCGAUGGCGAAGGCAGCUGCCUGG
rnacentral:rRNA from 1 species